rnacentral:tRNA from 1 species
GGACAGAUAGCUUAAUGGCAAAGCGACUUCUUAUAAGAUGCACAUGAUAUAGGUUCGAUUCCUAUUCUGUCCA